GAUCUCAGUAAUAAAAAUGAUUAUUAAUGUUUAUUUACAUUGCCUCUAAUGCAGCGUAUCGAUUUGUUUAAAUGGCUUACUGAGGUUCUACAAUACCUAGGUGGUUCACCUCUUCAGGUGGUAACCACAGAACGCCAACAAUUCAAGAAAAUGACAAUCUCUUUCGAGAUACCAUCAAGACAAGAUGUAGGUACCAUGAUUCAAAUAGUGGCUAGUGGGAAAGAAUCACUAGUUCAGAUGACUUAUGAAAGAAGAACCAUAGAAGCCUGCCUUUUGGAACUUCAGAAUUAUGGUUAUCUGAUUCCAGAUUUGUCAUGGUUCAAAAUCAAAGCACUUCAACAGAAUCAACAAGAUAUUGUUACUCUCUGCGAGACUCUUUCACGAGAAAAUCUAUAUGACAUAGAUAUAUUUGGUAACACCUUUAUGGCAAUGAGCUUAGAAGAAAUUUUAUGUCAAGCCGU